UAGGGAAUAUUGGACAAUGGGCGAAAGCCUGAUCCAGCCAUGCCGCGUGAGUGAUGAAGGCCUUCGGGUCGUAAAGCUCUUUUCUGAGGGAAGAACAGCCGGGGGAGGAAAUGCCCCCGGCCUGACGGUACCUUAGGAAUAAGGGACGGCUAACUCCGUGCCAGCAGCCGCGGUAAUACGGAGGUCCCGAGCGUUGUUCGGAAUUACUGGGCGUAAAGGGAGCGCAGGCGGACGGGUCAGUCUAAAGUGGAAAUCCGGGGCUUAACCUCGGACUUGCUUCGGAUACUGCCCGUCUUGAGUUCGUGAGAGGAAGAUGGAAUUCAGGGUGUAGCGGUGAAAUGCUCAGAUAUCCUGAGGAACACCAGUGGCGAAAGCGGUCUUCUGGCACGAAACUGACGCUGAGGCUCGAAAGCGUGGGUAGCAAACA
rnacentral:rRNA from 1 species